AGUUACAUUUUAUUCCUGUUAUUUUUUAUUUUCACAUGUUUCUUCACCUGCAGGUUCUGGAAGAAGCUUCGAGAGGAAGUGCCAGAGUUUUGUUGGGGAAAGCUUACUGUCCCCAAAGGGUGAGAUUAUAAUGAUAGCAGCAUGCUCCUGCAGAACAAUCAGAGAUGAAGGGAACAGACAACAUGGAAGAGUUAACAGGAAGAAGGAAAAGAGUUUAUCAGAAGAUUUGCAUGUGCAGCACCUGGCACAUCACAGACCCAAGUGCAGCUGUAAUAUUGCUAUGAAUACUACUGAUACUAAGGGCUGA
rnacentral:lncRNA from 1 species